AUACCACCUCCUCGUCACAGAGGGUCUUGGGCUUCGCCUCCGGGCGGGCCUCAAAAUCAGUGGCGGUGCCUGAAGGCUCUACGCGUAGUAAUACACCCCGCGAUAGACGUCUUUGGGUAUCUUGCCAGCAACCCCCAACUUCUUA
rnacentral:misc_RNA from 1 species